GAUGAACGCUAGCGGCGUGCCUAAUACAUGCAAGUCGAGCGAAUGGAUUAAGAGCUUGCUCUUAUGAAGUUAGCGGCGGACGGGUGAGUAACACGUGGGUAACCUGCCCAUAAGACUGGGAUAACUCCGGGAAACCGGGGCUAAUACCGGAUAACAUUUUGAACCGCAUGGUUCGAAAUUGAAAGGCGGCUUCGGCUAUCACUUAUGGAUGGACCCGCGUCGCAUUAGCUAGUUGGUGAGGUAACGGCUCACCAAGGCAACGAUGCGUAGCCGACCUGAGAGGGUGAUCGGCCACACUGGGACUGAGACACGGCCCAGACUCCUACGGGAGGCAGCAGUAGGGAAUCUUCCGCAAUGGACGAAAGUCUGACGGAGCAACGCCGCGUGAGUGAUGAAGGCUUUCGGGUCGUAAAACUCUGUUGUUAGGGAAGAACAAGUGCUAGUUGAAUAAGCUGGCACCUUGACGGUACCUAACCAGAAAGCCACGGCUAACUACGUGCCAGCAGCCGCCGUAA
rnacentral:rRNA from 1 species